rnacentral:rRNA from 1 species
AACGAACGCUGGCGGCAGGCUUAACACAUGCAAGUCGAGCGCCCCGCAAGGGGAGCGGCGGACGGGUGAGUAACGCGUGGGAACCUACCUGAAGGUACGGAACAACUCCGGGAAACUGGAGCUAAUACCGUAUGUGCCCGAGAGGGGAAAGAUUUAUCGCCUUCAGAUGGGCCCGCGUCAGAUUAGCUAGUUGGUGAGGUAACGGCUCACCAAGGCGACGAUCUGUAGCUGGUCUGAGAGGAUGAUCAGCCACACUGGGACUGAGACACGGCCCAGACUCCUACGGGAGGCAGCAGUGGGGAAUAUUGGACAAUGGGCGCAAGCCUGAUCCAGCCAUGCCGCGUGAGUGAUGACGGCCUUAGGGUUGUAAAGCUCUUUCGACGGGGACGAUAAUGACGGUACCCGUAGAAGAAGCCCCGGCUAACUUCGUGCCAGCCGCCGCAGUAAGAC